rnacentral:rRNA from 1 species
GAUGAACGCUGGCGGCGUGCCUAAUACAUGCAAGUCGAGCGAACAGACGAGGAGCUUGCUCCUCUGACGUUAGCGGCGGACGGGUGAGUAACACGUGGAUAACCUACCUUUAAGACUGGGAUAACUUCGGGAAACCGGAGCUAAUACCGGAUAAUAUAUUGAACCGCAUGGUUCAAUAGUGAAAGACGGUUUUGCUGUCACUUAUAGAUGGAUCCGCGCCGCAUUAGCUAGUUGGUAAGGUAACAGCUUACCAAGGCAACGAUGCGUAGCCGACCUGAGAGGGUGAUCGGCCACACUGGAACUGAGACACGGUCCAGACUCCUACGGGAGGCAGCAGUAGGGAAUCUUCCGCAAUGGGCGAAAGCCUGACGGAGCAACGCCGCGUGAGUGAUGAAGGUCUUCGGAUCGUAAAACUCUGUUAUUAGGGAAGAACAAAUGUGUAAGUAACUAUGCACGUCUUGACGGUACCUAAUCAGAAAGCCACGGCUAACUACGUG